rnacentral:rRNA from 1 species
AUGUUGCUGGUCGUGGAUUCGGGGAGCACACAUAGCUUCAUCUCCACCGCGUUCGUGGAGCGCGUCAAGGCUACCACAGUCGAUGUGCCGGCAGUUGAUGUGCGCGUCGCAAACGGUGAGAGGAUGGUUUGCAACAGGAUGGUAAACGGGCUGCAAUGGUGGAUCCAGGGCCACACGUUUCACACUGACAUGCGGCAGCUGGACCUCGGGGCGUAUGAUGGCGUGCUUGGCAUGGACUGGCUGGAGCAGUUCAGUCCGAUGAGCUGCCACUGGCUCGAGAAAUCCCUGACAUUCGUGCACCAGGGUGCCACGAUCACCCUACAAGGUGUUCGACCAAAAGACCAGCAGGCGUUGGAGGAGAUUGAGCCUGAUCAGCUGCGCAAAUGGCAAGCCGACAAUGACAUUUGGUACAUGGAUGUUUUGGACUUGCCUCGCGCCAACGAGUCACAGCCAACCAAGGUGCCACCGAGCGUGCAAGGCGUUCUGGACAGCUUCACCGACGUGUUCGCCGAGCCCAAGGGCUUGCCACCCCAUCGCUGCUGCGACCAUGCUAUCACUCUGGUGGAGAAUGCGCAACCAACAAAUUCCAGGCCGCACCGUUACUCACCAUUGCAGAAAGACGAGAUCUAA